AUGGAACCAGCCUUCGUUUCCCAAGGGUUUUGUCCUCCAGAACUUCUCGGGAAGGGCGUACCACAAGAGGGUAUAAACGUAUUUGCGAUUCUACAGCAUUCCCAUCUUCUGGGCAAAGAAAUGAUAACACGUCUCUACCGAAAUGGUAGCGAACUCGAACCACUGGCUGUCGACAGACAUUAUGAUUUUGAUUAUCAGGACAUGCGCUACCUUUCGAAGGAGAGAAAGAUAUAUCCGGAUGACAAAGUCGAGGUGAAAUGCGUUUACGAUUCGAGCCACAAACAAGAUAUAACAUGGA